GACGGGUAUCCGGCCUGAGAGGGUGAUCGGACACACUGGAACUGAGACACGGUCCAGACUCCUACGGGAGGCAGCAGUAGGGAAUAUUGCUCAAUGGGGGAAACCCUGAAGCAGCAACGCCGCGUGGAGGAUGAAGGUUUUCGGAUUGUAAACUCCUUUUGUGAGAGAAGAUAAUGACGGUAUCUCACGAAUAAGCACCGGCUAACUCCGUGCCAGCAGCCGCGGUAAUACGGAGGGUGCAAGCGUUACUCGGAAUCACUGGGCGUAAAGAGUGCGCAGGCGGAUUAAUAAGUCAGAUGUGAAAUCCUAUGGCUUAACCAUAGAACUGCAUUUGAAACUAUUAGUCUA
rnacentral:rRNA from 1 species